rnacentral:tRNA from 1 species
GGGAAUGUAGCUUAGUGGUAGAGUGCUUGCCUUGCAUGCAUAAAGCCCUGGGUUCAAUUCCUCAGCACCA